rnacentral:rRNA from 1 species
AAUAGAUACCCAGGUAGUCCACGCCGUAAACGUUGGAUACUAGGUGUGGCGGUCUUACCAACGACUGCCGUGCCGAAGCUAACGCAUUAAGUAUCCCGCCUGGGGAGUACGGCCGCAAGGCUAAAACUCAAAGGAAUUGACGGGUCCCCGCACAAGCGGCGGAGCAUGCGGCUUAAUUCGAUGCAACCCGAAGAACCUUACCUGGGUUUGACAUCACGGGAAAAGCUGUAGAAAUACAGUGUCCAUUAGGGCCCGUGACAGGUGGUGCAUGGCUGUCGUCAGCUCGUGUCGUGAGAUGUUGGGUUAAGUCCCGCAACGAGCGCAACCCUUGUCCUAUGUUGCCAGCGGUUCGGCCGGGGACUCAUAGGAGACUGCCGGGGAUAACUCGGAGGAAGGUGAGGACGACGUCAAGUCAUCAUGCCCCUUAUAUCCAGGGCUGCACGCAUGCUACAAUGGCCGGUACAACGGGCAGCGACCCCGCGAGGGUGAGCGAAUCCUAAAAAGCCGGUCCUAGUUCGGAUUGAAGUCUGCAACUCGACUUC